CUCCUGCUUCUUCUCCUCUAUAUUUCUGUGUUUCUGUUGUUUUUAUCAUGGUAUCAGAGCACAUUCAAAUCCUGGGCUGUGGAUUGUGUCGUUGUCUGAGCCGUGGGUGAGGAGAAGUGUUGCAGAUAGAAAGCUACCACAGUUUGUGUGUGUAGUGUGAGCUGUGAUGUGUGACGACUGGAUCUGGAGAGCUCUUUCACAGAGAUUCUCCUCUCCAUUAUUUGAUGCCUAAUUGUUACCUGUGUGUGUUGUGAAUUGUGUGUGUGUUGUGAAUUGGGUUUGUCUGUGAGCAAAGAAGGAGCUUUGUUUCUUUGUGGGCUCUGCACUGUUUGUAGUCUGGUAUAUGGGCCAUGAGAUGACCUGUUUAAGUGUUCGUCUUUUUCUUUGUAUGUUGUCAAAAGAUGGAGAGUAUGUUUAUGAAUCCAGGUGGGCUUUGUAUUACUUGCUGCUUAUGUGGUCAACAAUACAAAGUCUAAGAGGCAUCUCUGUUAUAUGAAUGAGGAAAGCCUGUGGAAUUCUCUGUUCUAUUUGUGUUAUGUUUUUAUAAGGAGUUUCCAACAAGAUGUCUGAUCAUGUUUGAAAUGUUUUUGGUUGGAGGUGACAAAAUUAUUGUUUUGAUGCAAGGGGGUGCAUGAUUGGUGGUACACAACACUUCAGAGUUUGUGGUAUAUAUUAUUGAUGAACCACGUAUCUAAAAAGCAUUCCUAUAGAACUGGCGAGCACAGUGGCUGGUUACCUAUGUGUCUGGGUAGAUGGUUUGCUUUUGGUUACCUAUGUGUCUAGGUAGAUGGUUUGCUUUUUAUAUGGACUCGAUAAUUUUAAGAAAAAAUUUCGAAGUGAUGAAAGUUUCCCCAUCGCGACGGUCAUUGGAACCAUGUUAGUGCUGAGUCUCUUGUGAUGGUUUGUGGUAAGCCAAAACCACUUGUUUGGGUAAAAAAAACCCAAAGUAAUGUGAAAUUCAAAGUGAUUGUAUUAGUUGGGGAAAACCCAAAUGGUUAUGGGUAAACCGGUUAAAAACCCAAAAGUUAUUGUAAAAAUGAAAUUUGUAGCGAAUCGGUUAAGGGUAAACUGUGAAAACCCAAAGUGUUUAGGGGAAACAAAAUUUGUUGUAAAUGGGUACUUAAAAAGGCUUGAAACCAGGACCCAUCCUAGUUCGAUUAUGGGGGGAUAUCAAAAACAAUUUGAUAAUUAAUUUAUGGGAAGAUGUUGGUAGAUAAAUUAAUUAUCACCUACCAACCAAACAGUGUCUCCAAUCGACUAUGCACUGAGUAACUUCUAGAGACUUCAGUCCACAUUGUUCACGUGUGCACUGUUUCACCAAUCCACAAUUAAAUCUGCAUCUAAGUCUUCUCUAGAGUCUUCGAAACAUUAAAUAUGUAUUUGGCUAUUUAUACAAUAGACUGGGCGUGUGUUCAUCAGAGCCCAUUCAUGGGUUUCUCUCCUGCUUCUUCUCCUCUGUAUUUCUGUGUUUCUGUUGUUUUUAUCAAUUCUCGACACAGGGAUUGCAAUGGAAGUAUGAUGAUAGAAGUUGCCCUUCAGUUCCGUGUCCCAAUUGCAAAUGUAUCCUUUGCCUUCCACGGACAUAGAUCGUUCUCCUUAUUGCGGGGCAUCGGUCUGGCAACCCGAAGAACUCUGCAAAAGGUGAUUAUAACCCACCACAGGAAAGCCUCUGAAAGUUUUCCUGUCGUUCAGAUUUCGAUGCCCUAUCUCAAUGCUUUGCUCGACCGGCGUCUUGACUAACUUGCAGAGAUUACUCAGCGGCUGCCCUUUCUUAAUCUGAUCGGAUAUAAUUUAUAGAAUCUCAAACCAAUAUUAAAUGAAUCCGAUUUGAUUUGAUUUGAUGCAAUUUUUGGUGACUGGAAAUUUGGCAGGCAAUGGAAAACUAGUAAACAACUCCAGUUUAACAACAACUACUGGAAAUUGUUUCCGCGUGAGAAAGUUUCAACUGAAACCUCACAAUAUAUAGCCUAUCGGCUAUUAAAAAAUUAAAUUUAAGCUGUAGCGUUCUCCAACGAACCUGCCACUUCUGGUACUUGGUACUGGACAGGGAGGUGUGUGCAACGGAUUGUACCGGCCUGAGGAUGGGGGCGGUGCAAACUUUCGCCCCCAUAGCCAGUGUCGUAUGCCGGCACUCCGACAUGUAACACUUGGAUUUAAUUUUAAAAAUUGAUCCAAACGGCCCAUUUCGACUUACUAAAAUAUAUCAUUGAUAUACUUAAAAAGAUC